CAGAGGCCGGACACAGGACCCAUUUGUGGUCCGAGUGCAGCAUCUUUUGGCAUUCUCCUGUGCGUCGGGUUCUACGUAGAAUCGAGCUCUAUAUGCUGCUAAAUGAGCGUAGUAUGCUGGAGGCACUGCAUCAUACCCAUAAAUGUCAAUGUAUUAUGGCUAGGAAGUGGUUGGCUUUAACCAAGCAUUUAGUCCCCAGCUGGCCAAAGUCUGGCCUUCUUGGAAAUGUUAAGCUUUUGCAAGAAGAAGAGGGAAGCUCCAGGUUUGGAUCGAGCUCCUUUUGCUUCAAUCCUUCCAUGGAAGAUCCUUUUGCUCUCCUCCUUCCCUUCCUUUUCCAUAAACUAGUCUUCUCACCAUCAUUUGAGCCAUAGUGGGAUUUCAACGCCAUUUGAGAAGAUGGUAUCACAUAUUUCUCUUCUGGCUCCAUUUGCAUGUAGGGCAUUUUUAUUUUUUCUGUCACCAGAAGGAGAGUCACUCAACACAACACUUGACGAGUUGAAAGCUGACAAAGAAAACUUGAAAGAAGAUUUGUGCUGUGGUAAGAAACAACUGCCAUGUUCUCAAGGUGUGGUGUUUAAAAGAAAGGCAGCAAGCAUGCUAGCAAUCACAAGAUAAAGGAAGAACUAUCAGAGUGACAGAGAGAGAGAGAGAGAGAGAGUAGGAAAUGGUAUCAUAUCUCGACAGUGUCCUCCUUAUUCCCGAAAGCUUUAUAUACACAGUAGAAUUGGAAUCAGAUAAGCUAAACAAAGUUCAUCAUCUCCCCCUCUUCGAAAGUGGAGCCUUUGUAUCAUAAUAUCCUGGUUAGUUGGCUAACCAGAACCAUUUCAUUCAGAAUUACAGAGAAAACAGUAACUUAUAUUUAGGAGAACAACAUACAUAUAUUGUUUAAAUUAUUUGUCUGUACUUCAAAAAAAAAAAAGCAAUGGGGUUUUCUUAAUGUAUUAUUAUUAGCCUAAAUAUUUUAGUACCAAAGUGACAUGACUGCUGUCGGAUGUCAAUUAGAUCAUGUGGGUCAAACAUAAUAUUUGACCACAUCUUACACAAAGCUCACAUCUUUCACAUAAGUAAAAUUUCUCCCACUAAUGGUAUGAAAAAUUGAAUGGUAGAGGUAUAGUUUUGAGGGGCAAAAAAUGGGUUGAUGAGAUGAGUGGUCCUAAUGGAAAAGGCAGGAAGAAUUGCUAUUUAUUCCCAGUGGUUUUGCAGGAAGAAGAGGACAAAGUUGUAAGAUGGGCAAAGAAUACAAACUCUUUUCAGCGAACAAAAAGGAGCUUUAACUCAUCCCAAAGCUCACCCACAGUGCCAAAAGCAGACAAGUAUUUAGACAACACAUAACAAAGAAACUGUAGCAGCAGCUGGAAGAAGCGUCAAGUUUUAAUACUCUCAUAGCAUCAUCAUAAGACAAACAUGAAGAAGAAAGUAGAACAUUCAGAAGAUAUCAGACCAAGCUCCUUUGUCAUUAUCAAUGGGAAGGACAGGGGUUGUGCAUGCAGGUUCUGAUCUGACCAAAGAAAUGUCAAACAGAACAUGAAAAAAAACAAUGAGAUAAAUCCGAUCUGUCUGUAUUCGUAUUUUACUUUUCCCACUUCAUAUUUAUUCGAAAGCUACGGAUCACACCAAGAUUCAUUGACCAACACAAUACGACACCCAAACUGUGUGAGAACCACAACUCACUGCUCAAGUACCACAAUUCUGGAUUUUGGGAACAUUGAUCGUUUUUUUAAAAUUGUAUUGUUCUUAUGGGCACGGUAAAAAUAGAACCGAAUCUAGGAAGAUCAUGUUUACUACUAUCGUUAAAGCUAAACUUGCGAUAGAUUUGGAAAUAUUAUCUUUCAAUUCAAUUUUUUUCUUUUA